AGCAGUUAGUGCUGCCAUGCUGCAGGUUCACAGUUAGCUUGGGGCUAAGAUAAUUGGUUUUUCCUGUUUCUACCUUAUCCAUCUCCAGGAGAGAAAAACGAAAUGACAUAGCAGUGCAACCCACGUUACGGCCAUGCCUUACAAUCUGGAACUUUGAUCAGUAAUGAAACCUCAAUGCUAACAGGGCUGUAAUAUCACCUUCUGCUUGCAGUCUGAAACAUGCAUGCCUCAGACACCUCCUGCCUAGGACACCAGCCAUCAGGAAGAGGAGCAUUCGGU